GCCCCCGACACCUGUUCCAUUUAAAAUGCGCGCGCCGACGUGGCCUCGUGCGCGGCCACUGACCCCCGUCGCCUCGCCGAGGCCCGCAAUUAACUAAUCCCCAAAUCCAAAUCUCUCUUCUCCCGGCUCCCCUCUCGCCGUCGCCGAAAGGCCAAUUCUCUCUCCACCGCGUCGUCAUUCCCCUCCCCGCCUUUUUUCUAUCCCCCACUUGGGCUUCUGGAUCGGCCCCGAUCCUUCCAGACACUUCCGCUCCCCCGCUAUAAAAGGCCGUCGAGCGCCACCAGACCCACCAUCGGCGCUCGCACGCACGCACCCAACAACCCCCGUUCUGGCCGGAUGGUGGCUGGGGCUCGCGGAGGACUCGAGAUACGCAUGUGGCGGCACCGAGCAUGAGGCAGCAACUGCAUUACUUGCGGGGAAGGUGCAAGUAGGACACCUGCAUUACUUGCAAACAAGGCGCAAAAUUAAUAGAAGAUCACCAUACUUGUGGCUUUCUUGCAAGUCGUGCAGUUGCUGCCUCAAGCUUGCUGCCUCCCUUUGCCAAAGCUAUCAGAAAAAACAUAAAGUUCUGUUAGUUUCCCUAAACUUUGAAAACAUAAAGUUCUGUUAGUUUCCCUAAACUUUAAAACAUGUUCUACAAAAUUGAUCUAGAAAUGAUUGGCUUACUGUGCUAAUUUAAAGCAAUAUAAUUACUCGACAACUGCAUAUGCACAUGUUAGAAGCAAGGCAGUAGAAUACUUAUGUUUUCAUCUACUGGCAGGUAGCAACACGUAUAGAUAUAUCACUCUGAAUUGAGUUAUGGACCAAACAUUAAGAACUGCUCACUUUGUUGGCACAUCCCAUCUGUGAAAUUACAUAUAAAUUUAUGUACAGCCAGUGCUCUCAGGGUAUGGAUUCAAAUAUUUUGGUGAAAGCAGAAUUGCUGCUGUAACAGUUUUAGAAAUAUUAUGCACAUGGAGGAUUUUUAAUGUGAUGGUGCGGCUGCACACCUAUAAGCCUCCACCUUGCCCUUACCCUCUCUUCUAACCAUUUAAUUUAAGUAAUCCCAACUAGUUCAAGCCUUACUGUACAUCAACAUGGCCUCAUCCUGUAUUUGCAUGAUUCCUCUGGAAGAAAGACAACAUAAUUUUCAUUUUAAGUCAUAUCCUCUCAGUCUUAGGCAGCUACUAUUUAUGAACUUGGAAGCCGGCGCAGCAGGUAUGGGAGGAUCUUCACAGAGUAGCAGGGUGUAGCAGAAUCAGUGGAGCUCUUAAACGGGAGCAGCUGCGUCAAAUGCUGUGGUCCCAACUUUGACUUUAUUUUCGAACAAGAGGUGGGGUGGUGGCUGUUCUUUGAUGCCGAGCCGCUGAAGUGUGCUUCAGGAGGAAGGGCGCAACGGCGCAACGGAGUGUCAGUCUUCUAGUUAUUGCAGUUACAUGCACAUGCCCAAGUACCAACUACCGACAGACAUGUCUUGAGUAACAAGCAUGUUAUUCUGAAGCUGCCUGGCACUUUUGUACUAAUAUAAAUUUGUAUAUAUUUCUGUCCAUGACUUCAUCAGCAAGGUGCAAUUUAGAAGGAAAAAAUUGAGAGCUUGCCAAACUUAGGUAUGUCCGAUAGUCUUAUCUCAGCCGUCUGUAAGAAUUUCUAGUUAGGAAAGAAGAAAAGAGAGCAAUAGUCUUUCUGUAGUUGUAUGUACACUCUCUACGAUUUUAUAGACAAAUUGCUGAUGGUGUUUUUGCCCUUGUCUUGAUGUUGUCUGUAACUUCUACCUGCAAACGGUAUGUCCAAAACUAGAACCAUUGUAG